GACAGAGGGGGCAAGCGUUGCUCGGAAUUACUGGGCGUAAAGCGCGUGUAGGCGGCUUGGCAAGUCGGGUGUGAAAGCCCUGGGCUCAACCUAGGAAGUGCACUCGAAACUGCUUCGCUUGAGUGUCGGAGAGGAAAGCGGAAUUCUCGGUGUAGAGGUGAAAUUCGUAGAUAUCGAGAGGAACACCGGUGGCGAAGGCGGCUUUCUGGACGAUUACUGACGCUGAGACGCGAAAGCGUGGGGAGCAAACAGG
rnacentral:rRNA from 1 species